GGAAGUUCGUGGGGAUUCCUCGGCCCGAACGGCAUCGAAGUAACGACGGGAUAAACAAUCUUCUUAUCCCGAACUCAUG
rnacentral:ncRNA from 1 species